UUCACCGGGGAGGCGAUCCCAUUACACCUCACGGUCCACCCGUUUUUAAUCGGAAUUAUUUGUAUACAGAAGUCCCCGCUUGGGAUAACGUUUUCCAGACGAAUAAGGAAUAACUUCACGACAAUGGACUAAAGUGGGCACCUGAUUGCGUUUCACUUCAUUGCAUUGGCUUGGAAGGAGAAGAACUGCCCGAGUCAUUUGGAGGUUGAAGGACAUCCCACCCUGUCACUCUGUAGAUGUAAAGAAUUUAUUGUGAACCUCCCGGCCACCAGGUUAAUCACCACAUCCCAGGAUAUUAUUCAGGGCAAUAUCACCAUGUUAGAUAGAAAUAGAUUGAUCCAUGUUAUUGUUUAUCAUGCAGAUUUGUCAGGACUUUGUAACUUAUGAAGCUCAUUCUAAAAUACAGACGUGAUUUCUGUCCCAAGGGAUUGAACUGCGUUCAAGUCUUCAAUUUAGACCACAAUUAGGUGUUAGUGAAGGGCUGGUACAAAAUCCUGUAAACUCCUGUCCUGUCAAUGUAACCGAUGUGAAAUGGCUAGCUAGUUAGCGGU